GUCGAGUCGAUGAGGGGAAGCAGUAGCGGGUCCCAUCCUUACCAGAGAGCCGGCGGCAGGUGCGAGCCGGCAAGGAUGUCCGUGAAUCCGUCCCUGAGCAGCCGGGCUGAACCGAGGAGUAGGCCCGGCCGGCGGAUGGACCGUUAUUCCAUGAAAGCGGGCUGCAGUUCAUUGCGGCCAAUUCGGGUGGCAACGCGGGAAAGCUCUCGUCCCUUUU
rnacentral:ncRNA from 1 species